UUUUAUGAGAGUUUGAUCCUGGCUCAGGACGAACGCUGGCGGCGUGCCUAAUACAUGCAAGUCGAACGCUUCUUUUUCCACCGGAGCUUGCUCCACCGGAAAAAGAGGAGUGGCGAACGGGUGAGUAACACGUGGGUAACCUGCCCAUCAGAAGGGGAUAACACUUGGAAACAGGUGCUAAUACCGUAUAACAAUCGAAACCGCAUGGUUUUGAUUUGAAAGGCGCUUUCGGGUGUCGCUGAUGGAUGGGCCCGCGGUGCAUUAGCUAGUUGGUGAGGUAACGGCUCACCAAGGCCACGAUGCAUAGCCGACCUGAGAGGGUGAUCGGCCACAUUGGGACUGAGACACGGCCCAAACUCCUACGGGAGGCAGCAGUAGGGAAUCUUCGGCAAUGGACGAAAGUCUGACCGAGCAACGCCGCGUGAGUGAAGAAGGUUUUCGGAUCGUAAAACUCUGUUGUUAGAGAAGAACAAGGAUGAGAGUAACUGUUCAUCCCUUGACGGUAUCUAACCAGAAAGCCACGGCUAACUACGUGCCAGCAGCCGCGGUAAUACGUAGGUGGCAAGCGUUGUCCGGAUUUAUUGGGCGUAAAGCGAGCGCAGGCGGUUUCUUAAGUCUGAUGUGAAAGCCCCCGGCUCAACCGGGGAGGGUCAUUGGAAACUGGGAGACUUGAGUGCAGAAGAGGAGAGUGGAAUUCCAUGUGUAGCGGUGAAAUGCGUAGAUAUAUGGAGGAACACCAGUGGCGAAGGCGGCUCUCUGGUCUGUAACUGACGCUGAGGCUCGAAAGCGUGGGGAGCAAACAGGAUUAGAUACCCUGGUAGUCCACGCCGUAAACGAUGAGUGCUAAGUGUUGGAGGGUUUCCGCCCUUCAGUGCUGCAGCUAACGCAUUAAGCACUCCGCCUGGGGAGUACGACCGCAAGGUUGAAACUCAAAGGAAUUGACGGGGGCCCGCACAAGCGGUGGAGCAUGUGGUUUAAUUCGAAGCAACGCGAAGAACCUUACCAGGUCUUGACAUCCUUUGACCACUCUAGAGAUAGAGCUUCCCCUUCGGGGGCAAAGUGACAGGUGGUGCAUGGUUGUCGUCAGCUCGUGUCGUGAGAUGUUGGGUUAAGUCCCGCAACGAGCGCAACCCUUAUUGUUAGUUGCCAUCAUUCAGUUGGGCACUCUAGCAAGACUGCCGGUGACAAACCGGAGGAAGGUGGGGAUGACGUCAAAUCAUCAUGCCCCUUAUGACCUGGGCUACACACGUGCUACAAUGGGAAGUACAACGAGUCGCGAAGUCGCGAGGCUAAGCUAAUCUCUUAAAGCUUCUCUCAGUUCGGAUUGCAGGCUGCAACUCGCCUGCAUGAAGCCGGAAUCGCUAGUAAUCGCGGAUCAGCACGCCGCGGUGAAUACGUUCCCGGGCCUUGUACACACCGCCCGUCACACCACGAGAGUUUGUAACACCCGAAGUCGGUGAGGUAACCUUUUGGAGCCAGCCGCCUAAGGUGGGAUAGAUGAUUGGGGUGAAGUCGUAACAAGGUAGCCGUAUCGGAAGGUGCGGCUGGAUCACCUCCUUUCUAAGGAA
rnacentral:rRNA from 1 species